UUUAAACACAAUACCAACAAAUACAAACAAUAAAUACUUGUUUUAUUUUUAGUCCUUGGAAGCGCAGCGUUCAUUCUGCUAUGGCUGAAUACGGUGCUUUUCACAAUUAACAGUUUAACAUCGCCUUCAUCAGAUUUGUUCAGCUCCUUUUAGAUAUAUUUGAUCAUUUCAUAACCAAGACAAGAUAAAACAAAGAAGAUGGCCGGUCGGAAUCGCGGGCCUCCACUUCCUAUGAAAGGUGGUCCUCAUGGUGGACUUCCUCCACCAAUGCAUGAGCCCCAGUUUGCUAGGGGUCGCUUGCCGGUGCCUCAUCCAGCAAUGCUUGAAGAAAUGAGAGAAUCACAGUUUGGAAUGGGCUCCAGACCAAUGCCUCCACACCCUGCUGUUCUUGAGGAACACCUGGCUAGUCAGCAUGAUGAGAUUCAAGGAUUAUUAGUUGAUAACCAGAGGUUAGCUGCUACUCAUGUAGCACUGAAACAAGAAGUAGAAGCUGCUCAAUACGAACUUCAGCGAACUGAUCAUUAUGCCCGUUCUUUGCGUAUGGAAACUGAUGUGCAAAUGAGAGAGCUUUAUGAGAAGUCUGCUAAGUUGGAAAUGGAUCUCCAAGUAGCUGAUGGUAUGAGGUCAGAGCUUAUGCGAGUGCGCUCGGAUAUUAAGGAGUUUACUGCUGCCAGACAAGAUCUUACUGUUGAGUAUCAAAGAAUGACACAGGAUUUGAGUAGAAUGACUGCAGAUUUACAGCAGGCUCCAGCAAUUAAAGCUGAAAGUGAAGGUCUAAAACAAGAGCUGCAGCGAGCAAGGGCAGCUAUUGAGAAUGAGAAGAAAGGAUACGCAGAAAACUAUGAAUAUGGUCAGGUUAUGGAGAAAAAAUUGCUAGCUAUGGCUCGAGAACUUGAAAAACUUCGAGCUGAGGUUGCUAAUGCAGAAAAAAGAGCCCGAGCAGCAGCAGCUGUUGCGAAUCCAGGUGCAGGGUACAAUGCAAAUUAUGGGAAUCCUGAAUCUGGUUAUCCAGGGAAUUAUUAUCCUGCUAAUUACGGAAUGAAUCCUAUGAACCCUGCUCAUCCUGUGCAGGGUGGUGCUGAAGGUUAUUCUCAGUAUGGACAUGGGCCUGGUGCUUGGGGUGGUUAUGAUGUGCAGCGAGCUCAAGGACCCAGAUAAACUAGUUAAUGUAGGCUGUCACACGGUGUUGUGCCUACUACUCUCUGGUUAUAAUCAAUGUCUAAAUGAGUUCAUCGACGACACAAGCAUGAAAUUUUUGGGCAGAAUCCGCGGCUAAAGUGGUUACUUAUAUUCAGUCUGGCAAGGCAAUCGAUUUAUCUCAGUUAUUUUGCAACUUGUGCUAUCAAGUGUAGCAGUUAACAGCAAUGUAGAUUUUCCAGCACUACCUGUUUUUUGAACAAAUUUCUGGGCAUAUUUAUAUCUCCUUGUGAAUUGUAAUGCUAUUUUGUGGCUCCUUUUUCAGUCCUACUCCAAAUUAGUUAUCCUAC